rnacentral:ncRNA from 2 species
AUGACCGAUCACGCGACAGGUUCCCCUUGACCGGGGAUUGAAAGGGAACGGGGUUCGAAACCCCGGCUGCCCCUGCAACUGUGAGCGGCGAGCCACCGUGCCACAUGCCAUUGGGAUCGACAUCCUGAGAAGGCGGCACGGAGCGGCAUUGACCCGCAAGCCAGGAGACCUGCCCGUCGCGGUCGUCCUUC